AUGCCGAAGGCCGGCAAGCGGCGCACAAGGGGGAACCCGGACACAGAGAGGGAAGCGAAGAAGAAGACGACGACGAGGAGAAGCGUGGCAGAGGAUCGAGGAUUGAUGUUCGCGGCCUUCGAGAGUGAAAAAGCCCAACCCCGACCAAAAUUAGAUCCUGUGUACGACGACGACGUUGCGGUCGAGUCCUCGUCGGAGGAAUCCUCGUCUCCACCUAGCCCUCUGAUGUACAGACCCUACAUACCCGAGGAGCUAGCUGAUGACCCGGACGUACGUGCCGCCUUCAAGCUCGCCAAAACCGAAUAUCAUGCAGAUAGAGCUUGUCGGUCAGCUGUCUUCGAUCACCACUCUUCUAGUUCGUGCCUGUCCAACGACAACCCACACCUUCUUCAUAUCCGUGAGGCUGCAAAGGAUGCAGUGCUUCUUGCCGCCGACUCUAUCAUCAGCCUCUCGUCAUUUCUCGACGCAGAUGACGAUGAGCCGUUGAAUACGUGUUGUGGUUUGUGGAUUCAACAUGACAUCAAAAAGAAAACCGCCGUGGUUUUGACGUCCGCGCAUCUGAUUCGCGCAAAGGAUCCAUCCAUCAGGAACCCGUGGAUGCUCGGGUCGACAUGCGAAUACCAUCGCGAGGCUGAGGUCAUUGUUCACUUGUUGGACGGCGAAACUGCAGUAGCCAGUCUCCUCUACCUCCAGGAGCACUAUGAAUUUGCUCUUUAUGAGGUUGUAGUGGACAAACCGGUUCAGUUGUCCACUUUUAACGACAACGUGCAUUCUGGUCAAGACGCUUUCCGACUUGGAAGAGAUGAAAGUCUUGAUCUAAGGAUAACACAUGGUAGGGUGGAAUAUAAAAUUCCAACCCGUCACGAGAGAGGUCACUACAUGUAUUUUUCCCACGAUGAGCAUAAAAGUUUGCAUGACGAUGGAGGCCCUGUCAUUGACUUAGACGGCAAGGUUGUGGGAAUGGUUCACAAUCAAUUCAAAGAGACCUUUUUACCUUCUUCUAUAUUGCACAAGUGCUUGGAUUCUUGGAGAAAGUUGAAGUGCAUCCCUCGUGCCCACCUUGGAAUGACCUUUACUCCCAUCAAGCUUCUAGAUCCUAUUUGUAUUGAGAGGAUGAGGCGUAAGCAUAACAUUGCAUCUGGUCUUCUUGUUGAACAGGUGUCAAAAGAAUCGAAUGCUGAGAAACUUGGAAUCCGCAUGGGUGAUGUUAUUGAACGCUUCAAUGGAGAGUGUAUUUCUAAUACAACUGAGUUGGAAAAGAUGUUGCUGGAUAUAGGCGGAGACCAUUUUGAUCAAGCAAAAGUCUUAAAGACCGAAACAGAUCUUCGAAUUCAAAUAUUUCGUGCCACAAAACGUUGCCGAAGAGUUAGAAAUUUGACCGUAACUGUAUCGGAUCGUGGAGAGGACAUCAUAGAAGGCACUUACCCUAUUACUGAUGGCCUUUGGAGAUGA
rnacentral:rRNA from 1 species